UUUCGCAAUGCCCGAAAGGGUGACGAAGCGACGCCGCGUGGGUGAGGAAGGCCUUCGGGUUGUAAAGCCCUGUCAGGUGUUAAGAAAUGUAAGUGCGCUAAUACCGCAUUUAUUUGACGAAGGCUCCAAAGGAAGUCACGGCUAACUCUGUGCCAGCAGCCGCGGUAAUACGGAGGUGGCAAGCGUUGUUCGGAAUUAUUGGGCGUAAAGAGCACGUAGGUGGGUUUGCAAGUCAGAUGUGAAAGCCUCCUGUUCAACGGGAGAAUUGCAUCUGAAACUACAGAUCUUGAGUGUAGGAGGGGAGAAUGGAACUUCUGGUGGAGCGGUGAAAUGCGUAGAUAUCAGAAGGAACGCCGGCGGCGAAAGCGAUUCUCUGGCCUAUUACUGACACUCAGUGUGCGAAAGCUAGGGUAGCAAACGGGAUUAGAUACCCCGGUAGUCCUAGCCGUAAACGAUGGGCACUAAGUAGAGGGGUUUUA
rnacentral:rRNA from 1 species